rnacentral:rRNA from 1 species
AACGAACGCUGGCGGCAUGCUUAACACAUGCAAGUCGAACGAGACCUUCGGGUCUAGUGGCGCACGGGUGCGUAACGCGUGGGAAUCUACCCUUUGCUACGGAAUAACUCAGAGAAAUUUGUGCUAAUACCGUAUAAUGUCGCAAGACCAAAGAUUUAUCGGCAGAGGACGAGCCCGCGUAAGAUUAGCUAGUUGGUGGGGUAAAGGCUCACCAAGGCGACGAUCUUUAGCUGGUCUGAGAGGAUGAUCAGCCACACUGGGACUGAGGCACGGCCCAGACUCCUACGGGAGGCAGCAGUGGGGAAUAUUGGACAAUGGGCGAAAGCCUGAUCCAGCAAUGCCGCGUGAGUGAUGAAGGCCUUAGGGUUGUAAAGCUCUUUUACCAGGGAUGAUAAUGACAGUACCUGGAGAAUAAGCUCCGGCUAACUUCGUGCCAGCCGCCGCCGUAA